AGCCAGACUCCUACGGGAGGCAGCAGUGGGGAAUAUUGCACAAUGGGGGAAACCCUGAUGCAGCGACGCCGCGUGAGUGAAGAAGUAUUUCGGUAUGUAAAGCUCUAUCAGCAGGGAAGAAAAUGACGGUACCUGACCAAGAAGCCCCGGCUAACUACGUGCCAGCAGCCGCGGUAAUACGUAGGGGGCAAGCGUUAUCCGGAUUUACUGGGUGUAAAGGGAGCGUAGACGGCUGAGCAAGUCAGAAGUGAAAGCCCGGGGCUCAACCCCGGGACUGCUUUUGAAACUGCGGAGCUGGAGUGCAGGAGAGGUAAGCGGAAUUCCUGGUGUAGCGGUGAAAUGCGUAGAUAUCAGGAGGAACACCAGUGGCGAAGGCGGCUUACUGGACUGUAACUGACGUUGAGGCUCGAAAGCGUGGGGAGCAAACAGGAUUAGAUACCCCAGUA
rnacentral:rRNA from 1 species